GAUAUAUUUAAAUCAACGAAAAUCUUGCGAGGAUUCCAACGAAUCCUCAUUUGCCCUGGUAACUUCCCCUCCUAGUUGCCAGGGUGUUUUU
rfam:Geobacteraceae bacterium GWC2_53_11 gwc2_scaffold_420, whole genome shotgun sequence.